CAGCUUGUAAACAAAAAGCCGUUCCUCCGGUUCCUACACGGGAGACCCGAAUUCCUCGACUUGCGUUGGACGUGGCUACAUGGCACCGAAUGCUCUGCCGGAAAUACCAGCUCUUGGCAGUUGAAUAAGUAGGUUAGACAAAAUGUUGCGAUUAAUGGACCGAAGGAAAAAACUCUUACCCAACGGAAGGCUCGCAUCCCUCCUUAAACGCUACCGGAGAAAAAGAAAACAGCGCUCCCGGAGUUUCUUGGUUACGAAAUCAGUUAGCUUCCAAUGUCGCUGGAUCGGUGUUGCCGGAAGCAGUUGCAUGCAGACAUGCAGAUGGCGCCAAGCCAAUCUGAAGUUAUAAAGGAGAUGGUAUGUCUUCACAUCCGUCUUGCAUGCUCGGCUCAAAUACCGAAAGGCCGGAAGUUUCGCCACCAAUGGGAGCAACGAGGGAAGAUUUUAGCCAUCAUAUUUUGCCGGAUGUCUAGAAACGACUGAAACCACACUGAUUACGUAUGCUAACCAAGGCGGAAGGAGCCAGAGGAAUUGUGA